UUUUAUUCUAAUAACGUCAUCGUAGACGUUUCCUGACAGUUUCUUGUCGAUUUAGGCUUUCGGAGCGUUACCAUAUGCAUGUUUGUAAUCGGUUUAAUCUUCAAGGUGAGAUCUGGGUGUUCCUCGACAUAUUCAACGGAUAAUCAGCUACAUUUGGAUUUGUUUCUGUCGCAACAAUUGCAGUAGCUUGGGUCUUCAAACUAAAUAACUUCGAAAAUGACAUAGAGAGAAUGAUUCAAUUAAAACCUUGAAUGAAAUUGGACAAUAUCAUGGAAAUAUAUCUCUCCAGUUAGUAUGGUCGUUAUCCUGAUUGCAAGCUUCGUGGACAUGUUCCUCAACCCUCGAGUUACUACGCUCGGAACAGGGAUACCGGCUCAAAAGACGAAUUAUUAUCCGCCACGAACCGUAUUUUUCAUCGUAUUAUUGAUACUAAACUCGGUGGUAUCCCGUUAUUUGCGGAUCUUGUACGUUUCGGAAUUUUCGACACAAAAUGGAUCGGUGCAUAUUCUUACACAAGAAAUAAAAGAGCCGAACAGAAUGAUAAUCGGAGUUAUGGGAUCGGCGACUCAUUGAAUUUAAAUUCGACGAACAAAGUUUGAUUUUCUAUAUUUAAUAUCCACCAGGUGGUAUAUUUUUGUGAGAUGCCACCACAUACCCCGGGCCUCGUACCUAAAGCACUAAAACGUUGGAUAUAUCGUAGAAUAUUGAAAAAACAUAACAAUAUGGCAGCGAAAAAGGGUUAAUAUUUUUUUUUUAUGAAAACUCUAGUAUAAUAAGCAAAUCUGAUAUGGGCCUUUGAAAACCAAAGUUUUUCACAAAAUGAAUUUUUAAUUGAGCAGCAGUUUCUGAGUUUACAACCUAUGACAAAAUUCUGUCAAAAUUACACCGCUUCCAACAGAUUCACCACCUCUGAUUUAUAUACUGUGCUUCUGUGCCUUGGAAAUUUUUUUUUCCAUCUUCUUGUUCAUUUGUUUCGUAUACACAAUGUUUUGCCUUGUUUGAAUUUGUUGUUUAUUCUUCUGUGUCUGCUUUCUGUUGAAGCUUUUUCUUUCCCAGUUCACAUUGAAAUGUUUUGUUUUUGUCUUGUUUUGAUUGUUUUAAAUGAUUUUUUUUCUGUGAUUGGCACAAGAUGUUCAUGCUAGAUUUUACUGAUCCAAAAGCCGUUCGAAUCUGUUCCAAAUCUUUCAAAACUUGAUAAUCUAGAAUUCUUUGCAAUCAGAAAAUUGUACAUUGGCCUCAAGUUAAUUCUUUGGGUUUGAUUACAAAUGCUCAAUUCAGCUUGAUUACGCAAAAUUUUACUCCAGGGUACAUUUUUUUGGGGGUAUUUCUCAAGCACGACUUCGACUGAAGGAUUUCGUUUUUUUAAGGAAUAUCAUAUUGCAAAAUUAUCCAGGGUUCAUCUAUAAUUAUCAGGUACUAUUACUAUGACUCCGAAAUAAAAAACUUUCAAUUUCAAAAAUAAUUACAAAUUCAAGUUUAUAAUUCAAAAUAUACUCAUUAGAAUUCAUUAAAACAAUCCAGAAUCAUUAAGAAAAACUACUAAUUCAGUCAAAAAUCUUAAAUUUAUUUCAGUCAAGAUUUAAUAAGCUUUUUAUUAUCAAGUUUUAAAUUCAUUCUUUCAAUAAAAAUUCGUCGUUUUGGAAGUAUUCGUACCAAGAUGACGUACCACCUGAACAACCCCAACCUGGUACAUAUACUAUGUUCAGGUUGUGCGCCAUCUUGAUACGAAUACUUCGGGAGCACUGAAAACUCUCACCCACACAAGUAUCAAUACACACAAUUUUUUUGGUGAAACUUAUGAAGAGCUUCCUCCAAUAUAGACAAUUUCUCCUUCCAAUCAGGGUUAUUUAUUUUAUUGUUACUUUCUAUUGAAGCUUUUUUUCUGUUUCACAUUGAAAUGUAGUGUCUGUUUUACUUUUAUAUAUUUGUCGUCUGAAUCAGUUUUGUCACAACCCCUAAACCUCAAUCUGAAGCAGUGGUUCUCAUAUUUUUAAGCCACUCCCGUCUUUAAAAUUUGUCAAGAAUUUGUAUCUUGCCCAAUCUAAAAAAAUAACUAGCUAAACAUCUGCUACAAAUAACAAAUAAAUACAGAUAGCGAGGCAACAUAUAAUUUUAAUUAGCUUCAAGUCCCCUCAACCACUGAUCUAAAUUGCAAUUGGCAAAGCAUAUAUUUAAACCAAUUAGCGUCCUAUGCACAUAACCUUACACUUAAAUUAGAUAUCGCUCCUUUGUACAUCUUUAGUUUUGAGUAAAGACUUGAAGUUGUUGGGAAAUCUAUGACCGUCCCGUAUUGACGUCUUGCUUACCUCUUAAGAAGCUAUGCUGCAUUUUAUUGCUUCUAAUGAUAAGUUUCGCUCAAAUGAAUCACCCAUAUACACAAUUUUAUUUAUAAUCAUUUAUGCAUGCUUAUAUAUUGAAUUUACCUUUUUGUGUCAUAAUUUUACUAAAUAUUUGCAAAUCUCCAAAGACGAACCGUCACCUCACCCUGGAAGGAAGCAAAAUUUCCCAUGUGGUUCUUUUGAAAAGCCCUAUACUGGAGAAACGAUUUUCCCAGUCCCUUGGUAAGAGCAUAGGUAAGACUUGGCAGAAAAUCGAAGCCCUGUCACAUCUGCUCGUUCAGAGACUUCUUUGGACAUAGUUGAAACGAAGCUGAAGAAUCCAUGCCCAAAUUUGGGUUUUAUUUUGCCGAUGUAUCUACUAGUCUAAAGCAUUGCUCAAAAAACCUGUUCAGAUGAUUGGUCUUAUUUGGGGCAAAAGCUUAGCCCAACCAAAAACUUCAUUACGUCCAAAUUCUGAUUUUUUAUUUUUUGAUAUUGACUUGUUCACAGCCUUGGUUUAUGCCUAGCAAGAGACCCGUGCCAAACAUGUGUUAUUCGAUGCUGUGCUAUAUUCUUUUCGCCCCCCCCCCACUUUUGAAUGUAAAAAAAUAUUUGUAUAUUUCUGUAUCAUGCAUAAUUUUUCGUACCUUGAAACGUUUUUUAAACCCAUAAGACUCCUGAAGACCCAUGUUUUCCGGCCUUCUGUCGAAACCUGCCUGCUCCCAGUUUCGGUCUAGUUUGGCAAAAAGAAAUUUCAUGACCCUCGCUUGGAAAAAUUUUAGCCCUUGGUUCUAUAUGCCCAGUCUCUGCUUGUCCAAAUUCGUGUUUAGAGAGCGGUGCACACAGCCAGUGAAGCCAUUUUAAUUUGAAGCAAUGUUACACAGUUUUCAACGUUAAUACUCAAAAAUACACAAUACCUCAACUUUACACGGAACGGAGUUCCCUAAAAAAUGCAAAAGUAUAUUAUUUAUUUACAGAGAAAAUUUGAUGAAAUAUUUGAAUUUUUGCUAUUUUGUGUGCCUUGUAUUUUAUUACAUUUGAAAAAUGUGCUUUCGAGAUGCUUGUUUGUAAAGGAAUUUGUGAAUAAAUUGAAAAUAGGC